UACGUAGGGGGCAAGCGUUAUCCGGAUUUACUGGGUGUAAAGGGAGCGUAGGUGGCGUGCCAAGUCAGGAGUGAAAACCCAGGGCCCAACCCUGGGACUGCUCUUGAGACUGGCAGGCUUGAGUGCUGGAGAGGUAAGCGGAAUUCCUAGUGUAGCGGUGAAAUGCGUAGAUAUUAGGAGGAACACCAGUGGCGAAGGCGGCUUACUGGACAGUGACUGACACUGAGGCUCGAAAGCGUGGGGAGCAAACAGG
rnacentral:rRNA from 1 species